AUUUAAGUAGUUUAAUUUAAAAUACUGAUUUGUGAUGUCAGUGAUAUAUGUGGAUAUCUUAGAUA
rnacentral:tRNA from 1 species